UUCUAUGCCAAAUUAUAAUAUAAAAACAGAAGCUAAGUAGGGUCAGGCCUGGUUAGUACUUGGCUGGGAGACCACCUUGGAAUACCAGGUGCUGUAGGCG
rnacentral:rRNA from 1 species